rnacentral:tRNA from 1 species
CGGGAAGUAGCUCAAGCGGUGAGAGCGUGGUCCUUAUAAGGCCUGUCGUUCCGGGUUCGAGUCCCGGCUUCCCGACCA